rnacentral:lncRNA from 1 species
GAAAAGGAUGGGAUUGCUUUGAAUAGCAAGGGAAACAAGCCAGCAUCCUGGAAACGAACAUGAACACUGAAAAGAUUAGAAUUCAGUAUCUCAAUUCUAUGCAGCAACUGUGUAACAUAAAGCAGAUUCAUGAGUCCAAGAAGGAAUGAAUAGAAUUAGCCUAAUCCAACACGAAUAUUCUUCUGAGGUCAAUGGCCUAGUCAAACCUCAUCUUUCUUUUAUUGAGGAUUUUCAUGACUGUGAGACACAACUGCUCCUGGCACACCAACUAUGUCAGAAAGGAGGAUGGGCAUCGAAGAAUCUUGUUAUGGAGUUUGCUUUCAACAUGGCAACAUUAGCCAUUUGGGCAAGAAACUGCUCUUGCCUGGACUGUUUGUUGCUGUAUAAAUUGGACACGCAAGAUCCACAGGAAAGUGACUACUGAACUUGCAAAACAAGACAGUCCUGAAGGGUUUCUGGUUCAUGGAGAAGUCUGCCAGACACACUGUGGCCUAUAGGCUGAAGAUGGAUGUCCCAAUGUUACAGAGGAACUUCAGAAAGGAUUUUUUGGAACCCAGUUUGGCCUUGAACUCACUAUACAUCCAAGGCUGGGCAUGAACUCCUGAUCUUCCUGCCUCCACCUUCCAAGUGCUGGAAUUACAGACAUUGGUCACCGUGCCCAGUUUGCUUGUUAGCAUUUGAGUGAAUAAUGGAGUGAAUGAAUUGCAUAAGGGAACCAACAAGUCAGUGAACUUCCUUCCAGUCUGGAAGAAUUAACUCAAUCAAGGAAGGAAAGUUUAGCUUAUAUCAGGAAGAAGGAAUUUUAAUUUCAUUCAUUCAUCACCUCUUCACCAGUCAUACAACCUAAGGAAGAGUAAUCUGCAAGGUUUCCAUGACAACCUUGCUCCAAGGAUGCUUUCUGGAACAUCCUUCCAAGAACAUAUUCCAAUCCCAAUCUUGCUUUACAAUGAAUGUCUAAUUGAACUGAAAUGAAUCAUUACUAAGACAAAUACUUAAUGUUUUCAUCAUUUCAUUUUUCCUGUGAACUUUAUUUUUGUUUAAUUUUCCAAAAUUGUGUAUGAUCCAGCAAUAGUGUUGCCAUUCUCUGUAUUCUCAACUAUUAGACUAUGUGUUCCACAAAGAACAGGACAUUUACUUGUUUCAUUCAGUUAUAUGUUACAAUCACCCUGAACAUUGGCAAACAAUGACCACUAAAUAACAUUCCUUUCAUUUGUCAAUUCUCCAUCUACCUAAGUUAAAUACAAUGUAGCCCUUGACGCUGUUGUUGUGAUUCU